GUAGGGUGCGAGCGUUAAUCGGAAUUACUGGGCGUAAAGCGUGCGUAGGCGGUUCGUUAAGUUCGCUGUGAAAGCCCCGGGCUCAACCUGGGAAUGGCAAUGGAAACUGGCGGGCUUGAGUAUGGCAGAGGGGGGUGGAAUUCCGCGUGUAGCAGUGAAAUGCGUAGAGAUGCGGAGGAACACCGAUGGCGAAGGCAGCCCCCUGGGCCAAUAGUGACGGUCAGGCACGAAAGCGUGGGGAGCAAACAGGAUUAGAUACCCUGAUAGUACACGCCGUAAACGAUGUUCAGUAGGUGUUGGGGAAGUGAUUCCUUGGUACCGUAGCUAACGCGUGAAGUGAGCCGCCUGGGGAGUACGACCGCAAGGUUA
rnacentral:rRNA from 1 species